rnacentral:lncRNA from 1 species
GCGGACCAAGAUCGAGUUGCCAAGUCACGAGAAACUCCUACGAAAACCCUAAACAAUUAGAUCUGAAACGAAAUAGAAAAUUAAAAGAUUAGAUUUUUAAAUUUUCAGAUCUGAAAUAAAAUCCCCAAAACAGUAAAGAAUCAAAUAGAGAAUAGAAAUAAGUGUUAAUAAGGAAUCUUGAAACCCUAGAAGAGAUUGCGAUUCUGCCCAAUUGAACACCCAAAUAGUUUUCCCCAAAUUUCGGCAAUCUAAUUUCUCCCAAAAAGAGUAUGGAUGAAUCGGCAAGAACCCUAGAAAUUGGGGAUUUUUGGGCUAAUUCCUUAA